UUAGAUUGCAAACUCUCCAGGACAGGGAGAGUUACUAAGCAUUACGUACACCAGCUACUACAAUGAGAUUCUGACCUUGGUUGGGGCCUCUAGGUGCUACUGGAAGAAUGGCAGAACUCCUUAACAUAAUACUACAGUUUAGUUGUGGUAUAACAGCAUAAGAAAUCCCAGAGGAAUUCUUCAAGCAAGAUUGAAGAAACCUUUAGUGGCUGGAAUAUUCUGCCCAUAAAGAUUAAAGAAGACUUCAGGGGUGUUGGAAGAGAACUAAAGAAAAGGAAAGUUCAAGUGAUCUUCACAGAGAUCCUUCCAGUCCCAUGAGCAAGAAAAGGCAGAAUACAGAUAAUACUGGAAGUGAACCAUAGGCUGCAUGAUUGGUGUGAAGCUGAAGGUUUUGGUUUUGUGGUACGCUGGGCCACAUUCCAAAGGGAAAGAGAGCUUUACAAAUGGGACAGCCUGCAUCUCACAAAUGUGAGAUGGGUUAUCUUCUCAGCUGAAGACUAGCUGCAGCAGCCAGAAGGAUGUCGAAAGAUAACAGUAAAUAGAAAUAUUACUCUGUAUUUCAUGGAAUAGAUUGCAACUAAUAUUUGUAAGUUACAAGUUUUAACUCCUUGUUUAAAAAAAAGUAACUAGAUUUUGUAUAAACUGUGUUGCGGUGUGACUCAGAAGUUCAGUGCUUUUGAAAAUUUUACUCGAAGUCCCAUUUUCAGAUUUUACCUAGGUACUUUUGAACCUAAACUCACUGGAAGUCAUUGGUACUUAAGUGUUUUGUGGACCAGAUUUUUGAAGUAUUUAGGUGCCUAAAGAUACAGAUAUUGCCUGGUGAGAUUUUUCAAAAGCACCUGGGUGUCUGAAUCCUGGAAGUUAGGUACCUAGGUGCUUUUGAAAACCCUACUAGGUGUCUAUCUACAUAUUUAAGUGCCACACACUUUUGAUAAUCUGGCCCUCAGUCUCCUUUGAAAAUAUGACUUAGGAGCCUAAGUCAUUUAAGCACUUUUGAAAAUUUUAGCCUUCACCUGUGAGGGUCAAAAUUAAUUUCAAUCUGCUUAGUUAUGUAUUUGAGCAGUGUCACAACUUUAAGCUGUAGUGGGCAAGCAUGGAUAGGUUCCAGUCCAGCCUUCCUUUGUGAAGAUUACGUGUAGGCCUGAAGAAGGCUUUCUCCAGCAGUGAGCUGAGAACAUCUGAUGUCAUCAUGGGGACUUUUAUUAAAACAGUGAAAUAAACAAUAGCAUCUAAAAUUGCAGAGUAAGGAAAGGAUUCUGACAAAUGUAGGUUCAGUCAAGAAAUGAUUUGAUUAUAAUGUUCAAAGUAAUUUUUCUGAGCUAUCUAAAGAAGGGACAAUGAUAUCUAUCUAUUGUAGCUAUUUAUAAGGCCUCUGUCACUUUGGUAUCUAUAUGGUAUCUAUACAAUAAGAUAAUUCCAUUGCCAGAAUAAAUUUCAGUCUGGUAUACCUUUUAGCAUUAUUUUUGGUAUUUAUUUAUUUGUUUGAGAUAAAAUAAUUAAUGUUUUAAUAAUUAAUAAAUAGCAGACACAUCAUAUGAAAAUGAGUUAAUUGGCAUAUUCGUUUAGCUUGUUCAUUUGAAUCCUAAUAGAGGCUGGCACCUCUCCAUUUAUCUCACUUCAAAAUGUUUACUGAAAAUGAGUGACCGUUGUAUUUGAACACAGAGGAGCAUUCUUCAUGUAAGUUUCUCCCUGUAAUGUUAUGUGGCUAAAAUAGAAUUCUGCUGGAACACUGAGUCACGGGGACUGACCCAGCAAAGCGCUGUGUGUGUGACACAUAAUGAAAGGUUGAACUGUCUGUCUCCGAGGUGGCGUAGCAGAUCAAAUCACAGAGGAUCAGGCAGAGAUAUGUUGCCUUUCUCUGAGUGACAGAAGUUAAUAAUUAGUGACAAUGAUUGACAGAUACACUCCAUCUGCCGCUCUGACGCCCAGGAGCAGUUAUUCCACAACUGUCUGCGGGCACAAUGAACUCCUGUGGGAGAGAAAGAUGGCCUGUGAUUGACAGCUGCCUUCAAGAGAGACAGGCCACUGACAGUAAAGUCACUGUCAGCAAAAGUGCGAAGUCUCCCCCUGUUCCCUGGAAGUCUCACUUGCUGUAUACAUUUAUUCUGUUUCAUUUAUUAUGUCAGGUAUGGUUUUAAAUACAUUACUAGCAAGCCUGUUUGUUAACUGUAGGCUUUUUCAAAUGGUAAAUUAGAGAUAUCCACAUACUGUGACACUUCAUCAUCCUACUACCUAUUCUCUAUAGUACAUUGGACAUAGACUGAUUAAAUACAGAUAUCUGAGUAUGUUUAUCUUUCUAUCUGUACUGGAAGAGGAGAAAUCUUGCACUAUUGCCCCUGUAAAUUGGGAUUCUAAAGGUUCACAAAAUAUGAUGUUUGUACCUCAUCCAUCCUGUUUUUAAAACUUUUUCAAA